GGAAGCAAAGAGGAUUGUGGGAGCUCCGUUGUGCGUCGCUUAAGUGAGGGCGGCGGAUGGGCGAAGGUCCGGUGACUGCGACUGUCGCUGCUCUCUGAGGCCACAGGAAAGGGGCCGUCGGCCGCCGCCAUGACAGCGAGCGAGGCGGAGGAACCAUGUAAGAAGUCUGACUGCCCUGCUGGAGAAACCAAAUGGAGAGGUCAAGAGACAACAUGGAGAGAGAACGCACAGCCCAGCUGAGCCCAGCUUUCCAGUUAUCCCCACCAAUGCGCCACACAUAUGAAGGAAGUCAUUUUGGUCCCUCCAAAACAACCUAGCCAGCCAGCUGGAUACCACUGAGUGACCUCAGUAGAUGCCACGUGGGACAGGAGAAUUCUCUAGUGAGCUUUGCCCACAUUCCUUACCCACACAGUCAUGAGUAUAAUUAAAUGAUUAUUGUUUUAAGCCCCAA